GUCGGACCCCACAUUCGGAAGAAAGACACUAAUUUCCGGAAAGCAAUCAGCCCCGAGCACCGGCUUGCGCAAACUGUCAGGUUCUUGGCUGCAGGGGAAACUCUCCGCUCAUCUUGUUUCAGUUUCCUAAAUGGACGCUCGACAGCAUGUGGCAUUGUGUCGUCGGUGUGCCAGGUGCUGUGGGACGUCCUUGGACCUUUAUAUGUUGCCUGUCCAUCAAGUGCAGAUGAGUGGCUACAGAUUGCAAGCGAAUUCGAGGAACGGUGGAACAUGCCCCACUGUGUGGGCGCAAUCGAUGGAAAACAUGUUGCCAUCGAAUGCCCCUCAAAAUCAGGAAGUGAGGACUACAACUACAAAAACUGUUUCAGUAAAUCACUGCUUGCUAUCAGCGACGCCUGCUACAGGUACAUGCUCAUAAUCGAUGCAUUACUGGUGCUAACAUUAAUCAUGGUCAGCAGCAUGCAGUACAAUUAUGUU
rnacentral:lncRNA from 1 species